rnacentral:lncRNA from 1 species
GCCCAGUUCCAGAAAUUCCUUGGGCAAGUCCAUAACGCACAUUCACCGUCAGGCAUGAAGGAAUAGCUUAUCCAGCAGAAAUAUCGGAGGCCAGGCCCCAGUACAAACUCCUUCAGACUUCUCAGUACUCAAGACAUCUCAAGUUUUUGAAGAGUAAAGUAUAAAAUACUGGCAGGGGUGGGUAGGGGGAACAGGAUAAAUUGGUGAUGGCCCAGAAAAAAUAUCCAGGGGGAUCGCAUUUUUCUUCUCCAAAGCAAAACAGAAUUCAUAACUGAAAGAGGAAUAGAGAAAGAGGAAAAAAGUGAUCUGGGACCUGUUGUUUUUCUUGCAUCCCAUUUCUACUCUGCCUGUGAGUGAAGACUGUUGUGGAAAAGUCAACUGGAGAGACCAGGUCAAAGGCCAAGCAGAAGAGGAAUUAGGCUUAAGACUGCACUGAGAGGGAACACUAGACCAUGGUGGCAAAAUGGCCGAAUAGGAGCAGCUCCAGUCUACAGCUCCCAGGGAGAUUAAUGCAAAAGAUGGAGUCUCGACACGUUGCCCAAGCUGUUCUCAAACUCCAGGGCUUGAACAAUCUUCCCACCUUGGCCUCCCAAGGCACUGGAAUUACAGAGACAGUGCUCUGCAGGGAGUCUACCACUGUGAUGGUUAAUACUGAGUGUCAACUUGAUUGGAUUGAAGGAUGCAAAGUAUUGUUCCUGGGUGUGUCUGUGAGGGUGUUGCCAAAGGAGAUUAACAUUUGAGUCAGUGGGCUGGGAAAGGUAGACCCAGCCGUAAUCUAGGUGGGCACCAUCUAAUCAGCUGCCAGCACAGCUAGAAGAUAAAGUAGGCAGAAAAACAUGAAAACAUUAGACUGGCCUAGCCUCUGAGCCUACAUCUUUCUCCCAUGCUGGAUGCUCCCUGCCCUUGAACAUCAGACUCCAAGUUUUUCAGUUUUGGGACUGGGACUCACUAUCCUUGCUCCUCAGCUUGCAGACAGCCUAUUGUGGGACCUUAUGAUCAUGUGAGUUAAUACUUAAUACAUAAAUAUAUAUAUAUACACACACACAUAUACACACACACACACACAUAUAUAUAUACACACACACACACAUAUAUAUAUAUAUCUGUCCCUCUAGAGAACCCUGACUAAUACAACUACUAAUAAAAAUUGGGGCAAAAGACAUUGAUUGGGUAUUGUAAGUAGGUUAUGCUCACAGUAGCAAUAUCUCUUAAGACUUUUUAAAAGACUUCCUAAUAAAAGAGAUUUAAAAUACAGCAAAUAACAAGUUUGUGCAUUUUCAAUUUCAUUAUCAGCACCACCUUCAUUAUCCAAAGUUAUUACUAAAGCUUAUGACACAUACAGCAUGAGCAGCAGACAGAAAAUUUUGAAGUCAGUGCCUCUGUGGUUCACAGGUGCAGAGGCAGACAUCACAGCUGUCAAGCAGUUAUUUACAAGAGAGACACUUCUCCAGUAGUAAUUGACAACCUUCUUUAAGGGAAAAGAGGCUGCAAAACUGUGGAAUAUUAGAACAUGAAGCCAAAGAGGAAAACUGACUUGCCUAAGGCCACUCAACAAAUUAUUCAGCCAGAAUGGGAACUCAUACUUGACUUCAACUUCUUAUUCCUCGUGUUCUUACUCCUACAAGUUUUCCACUACUCAGGGGCUCUUUAGGGUAAAUUAACCAUGAAAACACACACAUGCACACACACAUACAAACUAAAUUCCAUUCAUAUUAAGAUAUGCUUCCUUUUUUCUCUCCCCUAUCCAUGGUAGUAAUAACAAGAAGUAAAAGCUUUUUCAUUAUAAAGUAAACUUCCAUUUUUCUUUCUUGAUACGUUUUCAGGUUUUCCUCUAAAAGUAAUUAAAAGUACUACUCAAGUUGUUCCUAGUUGUCUAGAAUGGCUUAUGCUGCCAUUAGCUUCUACAGCUCUGUCAUUAGAGAAAUGGACUGUACUUCUUCUUCACCUUUCACAUGCGGCCAAAAUUGGGUUACUUUAAAAGGCCAGAUGUCAAAAGCAGAUAAAUCCUUUGUACUGUAAUGAGCAUAAUGAUGAAUAAUGGCACUUAUGUUCAAUAAACGAUGCCCUGCCCAUAAACAGCCUUUCCUCUCAGAUAUUCUAUUUAAUUCAAUGAUAUAUUCCAGGUAAUUUGUGGAACUGAAUGAGAAAUUACCUUAAACAAGAAGACUUUGGAAUUUACUAAAAUAUACUUGUUGAAAAUAAUUAAUGGAAGCAGAGUUUGCAUUAGUAAAAUUAUGGCAUUAAAAUCCG